rnacentral:rRNA from 1 species
UCAGGAUGAACGCUAGCUACAGGCUUAACACAUGCAAGUCGAGGGGCAGCAUGGUCUUAGCUUGCUAAGGCCGAUGGCGACCGGCGCACGGGUGAGUAACACGUAUCCAACCUGCCGUCUACUCUUGGACAGCCUUCUGAAAGGAAGAUUAAUACAAGAUGGCAUCAUGAGUCCGCAUGUUCACAUGAUUAAAGGUAUUCCGGUAGACGAUGGGGAUGCGUUCCAUUAGAUAGUAGGCGGGGUAACGGCCCACCUAGUCUUCGAUGGAUAGGGGUUCUGAGAGGAAGGUCCCCCACAUUGGAACUGAGACACGGUCCAAACUCCUACGGGAGGCAGCAGUGAGGAAUAUUGGUCAAUGGGCGAGAGCCUGAACCAGCCAAGUAGCGUGAAGGAUGACUGCCCUAUGGGUUGUAAACUUCUUUUAUAAAGGAAUAAAGUCGGGUAUGGAUACCCGUUUGCAUGUACUUUAUGAAUAAGGAUCGGCUAACUCCGUGCCAGCAGCCGCGGUAAUACGGAGGAUCCGAGCGUUAUCCGGAUUUAUUGGGUUUAAAGGGAGCGUAGAUGGAUGUUUAAGUCAGUUGUG